AUACACACUCUCCGCCAGAGAACUACAAGUGAAAAACUUGAAACUCAAAGGACUUGACGGUGUCCCAUAUCGACCUAGAGGAGCCUGUCCUAUAAUCGAUAACCCCCGUUCCACCCUACCCUAACUAGCAAUCAGCUUAUAUACCGCCGUCGACAGCCUACCCCUUGAGGGUAACAGUAGACACAAUUGCCAACCGUUAGUACGUCAGGUCAAGGUGUAGCACAUGUUAGGAAGCGAUUGGC
rnacentral:rRNA from 1 species